GCCGGACGGAUUUCCGACCGGCUAUGGCGAUAAACGGAUUGUGUAAUAAACCAUUCGGACCCGGGGGCAGUACCCGGCGCCUCCACCA
rnacentral:tmRNA from 1 species